rnacentral:lncRNA from 1 species
CCGGGCCGCCCCUGGGCGGUGCUUCUGUCGGCGGGGGCGCGGAGGGGGCCCGGCAGCACCGUGCCGCGCAGAUGGCGGCGAAAAGUGCAGGUUUCAGUGAGGGUGGUGUGGCUCGUGUCAGACUCCUUGACCCUGUGGAGGUGCUUUGGAGACUUGGCACCAAAGUGGUGCCUGCAGUCAGUGAGUGUGCCUGUAACACGACAUACAGAGGGAAAAUCCUUCAUUCAUCUUUACCAAGCUCCAGAAGGUGGAGAGAGGGCCAGUGGAGACAUGUAAUGAAUGUCGAUAACUACAUUUAAUUUCUUUGGCAAGUGAUACUAGGAAACCACUGAACAGAAAGAGAAGUAAGAAUCCUUAUUUUCAGCCAUUCUAUGGGACCCACUGCAAGUUAGAGGAGAAAUGGAGGAACUCUCCAAACAAGUUGCUGGUGGAGGUAUUGUGGAAGUAGAAGAAAGUGGUUUCAUCACUGGCCCACUAUGGACUUAAUGUUUUGAAAAAAUAAAUUUUGCUGAAGCAAAACCAUUUGCAUUCUUAUCUGUAGCUGGUCAGCUAUUUAAAUGGCACUGAAGAUUACUUCCUUCUGUGACUUUCCUAUGGUUUAAGGAACAAAUAAAUCAUACUGCUAUUGCAGCAUCUCCCUCAUGUGAGGCUUCGGUGUGAGAUUUAAGUUAGCAGGGUUUAGUGAGUGUCAUUUGCACUGUGGCAACUGUGGACAUGGGGAUGAAUAGGCUCUUAGCUGGCAGCCAAGACCUGGUGAUGUGACUUGUUCUGACAGGAGAGAAGGCUAAGCUAACUUGCUUAUAGCAAAUGCAAAGUAAUACAUGCUGACAAUUUCUGCAGAUCAGCUGAUGUAUUACAAGUUGUUAAUAUGAGGUAACUUCAUGGUACUUCUGAGAUCACAAGACACUUUAGUGUGCCACACUUCUCUCUGCUUAGACUCUGUUCUAACAAUAAUGGUCUUUCUGUAGGCUGCUAUGGAUUUCCGAUCUCUAUGCAUGCAAAUAUAUUGCAUUACACGCACAAUACCUUGAUACUGCAAAUUAUACAAGGAUUCAUACUGGUUGGAGUAGUCCUAUGUCAAAAUAGCUAUAGUAUAUGUAAUGGAGCAGAAUCAAUAGUGAAAUGACAGUAAUUGUGACAAAGGUAGUUCGUUCCAAACAGAGACUUGCACCAAUAAAAUAGAGAGGAGAAGCUUGAAGUCAUUCUGUGUGGCAACAAGAUGUUCCCAUCUGAGCCUUAGUAAGACAGGGUGGAAGGAAACAAUGCUUUAAGGAAGCUGCACUGCAGCAGCCUUUGACAGGAUUUCACACUGCUUACUCAAAAGGGAAAUGUUAAAGGUGAAAAGCCAAACAACUAGAGAAUGAAAAUGUUUCCUCAUCUCUUUUCCCAUCCUCCCUAGUAUGGACAGAUGAAUUCCAACAUUAAUGAAAGGACAGCAUGUACUUUGAAUUUUGAGGAAUACUGAAUGCUGUUCUGUAUGCAUGAAAGGUUGGAUGGGAUGGGAAAACCCACAUGGAAUUCAGAGUGAAAUAAUCCAAUGGGAGAAAAAAUCCUUUUUUUUUUUUUUUUUGUAUUUGUACUUAAUGUGUUUUAGUCCAUGGUUUCCAUUGCAGCAUGGAUCACUUAGGGGUAUUCUUACGCUAACCCAUGUCUUAAGCAAACCUUAUUUUUCUUAGAAUAGGUUUGAUUAAGUAUUAUUUUUGCUUCCCAUUUCAAAUACUUGUUCUAAAUAAUCAAAGAAACAUAGCUAGGGAAAAAAGACCUUGAUUACAACAGCAUGGAGACUGUUGUUCUUGGCAUAAUUUUAAAGGCUAGGCAGACCUUAGACUAAAAAAUAUAUUCCUGUCAAGAAUUUCCCUUCAAGCCCCUUGACU